GGAUGCGAUUAUACCUGCACUAACGCUCCGGAUCCCAUCAGAACUCCGAAGGUAAGCGCGUUGGGGUGAGUGUAGUACUAGGAUGGGUGACCCCUUGUGAAUUUCUCGUGUUGCAUCCC